rnacentral:piRNA from 1 species
UGAGACAGGAAGCAUGGGGUACACUCA